AUUUAUAUAGUAUAAUAAUUAUAAUUGAUUUCCAAUCAAAAGAACUAAACCUUAGUAUAAAUA
rnacentral:tRNA from 1 species